AACGAACGCUGGCGGCACGCCUAACACAUGCAAGUCGAACGAAGCAUAAGAGCUUGCUCUUAUGACUGAGUGGCGCACGGGUGAGUAACACGUGGGAAUCUGCCUAUUGGUGGGGAAUAACUUUUGGAAACGAAAGCUAAUACCGCAUAAGCCCUAAGGGGGAAAGAUUUAUCGCCAAUAGAUGAGCCCGCGCUAGAUUAGCUAGUUGGUGAGGUAAGAGCUCACCAAGGCUACGAUCUAUAGCUGGUCUGAGAGGAUGGUCAGCCACACUGGGACUGAGACACGGCCCAGACUCCUACGGGAGGCAGCAGUGGGGAAUAUUGGACAAUGAGGGAAACCCUGAUCCAGUGAUGCCGCGUGAGUGAAGAAGGCCUUCGGGUUGUAAAGCUCUUUCAGAGGGGAUGAUAAUGACGGUACCCUCAGAAGAGGCACCGGCUAACUUCGUGCCAGCCGCCGCAGUAA
rnacentral:rRNA from 1 species